rnacentral:rRNA from 1 species
AAGCGAGCGUACACAGGUGCUGCAUGGCUGUCGUCAGCUCGUGUCGUGAGAUGUUGGGUUAAGUCCCGUAACGAGCGCAACCCUUGUCCUUAGUUACCAGCACGUUAUGGUGGGCACUCUAAAGGGACUGCCGGUGUUAAACCGGAGGAAGGUGGGGAUGACGUCAAGUCCUCAUGGCCUUUAUGACCAGGGCUACACACGUACUACAAUGGCCGAUACAAAGGGCAGCGACACUGCGAGGUGAAGCCAAUCCCGUAAAAUCGGUCUCAGUCCGGAUUGGAGUCUGCAACUCGACUCCAUGAAGUUGGAAUCGCUAGUAAUCGUGGAUCAGCAUGCCACGGUGAAUACCGGUUCCCGGGCCUU